rnacentral:rRNA from 1 species
AUUGAACGCUGGCGGCAGGCUUAACACAUGCAAGUCGAACGGUAACAUAAAGGAGCUUGCUUCUUUGAUGACGAGUGGCGGACGGGUGAGUAAUGCUUGGGAAUCUAGCUUAUGUAGGGGGAUAACUACGGGAAACUGUAGCUAAUACCGCGUAGAAUCGGGAGAUGAAAGUGUGGGACCUUCGGGCCACAUGCCAUAGGAUGAGCCCAAGUGGGAUUAGGUAGUUGGUGAGGUAAAGGCUCACCAAGCCGACGAUCUCUAGCUGGUCUGAGAGGAUGACCAGCCACACUGGGACUGAGACACGGCCCAGACUCCUACGGGAGGCAGCAGUGGGGAAUAUUGCGCAAUGGGGGCAACCCUGACGCAGCCAUGCCGCGUGAAUGAAGAAGGCCUUCGGGUUGUAAAGUUCUUUCGGUAGCGAGGAAGGCAUUUAGUUUAAUAGACUAGGUGAUUGACGUUAACUACAGAAGAAGCACCGGCUAACUCCGUG